UGAAUUAUUAAUUAAGUUUUACUGUUAGUUGAACUUUUGACAUUGAUUAAAAAUACAAUAAAACAUUGUUAAAAAUCAAAACUGACAAAUUAUGUAGAUUUGGGAUUGUCCAAUUACUAAUCUAGUCAUUUUUAUGAAAUUAAUUGUGAGAGGUUGUCCGCAUUACUGUGAUUGGAUUAUUGAAUAAUUAUAAGUAACAGGAAAGUAUGUUAGGAAAUUCUAGUUUUAUUGCUUGCUUUAGUGGAUAUAUAUCGGAUGUAUUUUAAAAACGUGAAUAACUCGGAAACUGGAAAUCGGAACGAAAUACGGUUUGCACUAAUGGAUUUUACUCAAUUUUCUCUAAUAGAUUGACUAAUAAAAUAUAAUUUAAUA